rnacentral:rRNA from 1 species
AGAUGCCUACGGGACGCAGCAGUGAGGAAUAUUGGUCAAUGGGCGGAAGCCUGAACCAGCCAAGUCGCGUGAGGGAUGACGGUCCUACGGAUUGUAAACCUCUUUUGCCGGGGAGCAAGCGUGCGUUCGUGAACGCGCGUCGAGAGUACCCGGAGAAAAAGCAUCGGCUAACUCCGUGCCAGCAGCCGCGGUAAUACGGAGGAUGCGAGCGUUAUCCGGAUUUAUUGGGUUUAAAGGGUGCGUAGGCGGGAUGCCAAGUCAGCGGUAAAAUUGCGGUGCUCAACGC